rnacentral:lncRNA from 1 species
GUGGGGGGGCACCAGGACGUGUAUCCCUUGGGCCUGUGCUAGUUGCUACAAAUUUGUCGAACUCAUUCACAUCAGCAUUUUAAAUCAAUACAUAUCUUAAAGUGAAAGCUAUUAUCUUUUGAACUUACUUGUAUGAGUGUUUGCUGUUGUUGAAUCUGUGUAGCAUAAUAUUCAUGUUGCGCAGCUUGUUGCUUCAAGUAAUCCUGAUGUCGCCUAAGUUCUUCUCGCGGUUGCUCCACUUUUGCUGGAUCUUGAGUGGAGCGACAGGAGCUACGAGUAGCAGACCUCGACGAGCCUCCACGCUGAACCCUCACCUGGCUCG